rnacentral:tRNA from 1 species
GCCCCCAGUAGUCCACCGUGCCACCGCACCCUUCACCAGGACCUGCGGCGACGCCCUGUCGAUCGAACUCCCAAAGCGGGUGUCGCAGGUUCGAAUCCUGCCGGGGGCA